AGCAGCCGCGGUAAUUCCAGCUCCAAUAGCGUAUAUUAAAGUUGUUGCAGUUAAAAAGCUCGUAGUUGAAUUUCGGGGUCAGUAGAUUGGUCAUGCCCCGGUAUGUACUGGUCUCACUGAUUCCUCCUUCCUGAUGAGCCGUAAUGCCAUUAAUUUGGUGUUGCGAGGAAUCUGGACUGUUACUUUGAAAAAAUUAGAGUGUUUAAAGCAGGCUAACGCUUGAAUACAUUAGCAUGGAAUAAUGAAAUAGGACGUUCGAUCUUAUUUUGUUGGUUUCUAAGAUUGACGUAAUGAUUAAUAGGGAUAGUUGGGGGCAUUAGUAUUCAAUUGUCAGAGGUGAAAUUCUUGGAUUUAUUGAAGACUAACUACUGCGAAAGCAUUUGCCAAGGAUGUUUUCAUUAAUCAAGAACGAAAGUUAGGGGAUCGAAGACGAUCAGAUACCGUCGUAGUCUUAACCAUAAACUAUGCCGACUAGGGAUCGGAUGAUGUUAAUUUUUUAAUGACUCA
rnacentral:rRNA from 1 species